UUGUGUUUCAUGAUAAGCUAUACGUAAACAAUUAUGGCGGUAUAGUUUGGAUGUUCUCAACACAA
rfam:Stegodyphus mimosarum contig80897, whole genome shotgun sequence.